rnacentral:rRNA from 1 species
UACGUAGGGGGCAAGCGUUGUCCGGAAUCAUUGGCGUAAAGCGAGCGUAGGCGGCCCGAUAAGUCUGCUGUGAAAGUCAACGGCUCAACCGUUGAAAGCCGGUGGAUACUGUCGGGCUAGAGUUCGGAAGAGGCAAGUGGAAUUCUCGGUGUAGCGGUGAAAUGCGUAGAUAUCGAGAGGAACACCUGCGGCGAAGGCGGGUUGCUGGGCUGACACUGACGCUGAGGCGCGAAAGCCAGGGGAGCGAACGGG